rnacentral:lncRNA from 1 species
GGAGAGUGGGUAGUGAGGAGAGCGGGUAGUGAGGAGAGCGUUAGUGUGGAGAGCGGGUAUUGAGGAAAACGGGGUAGUGAGGAGGGCGGGUAGUGAGGAGAGCGGGUAGGAGUGAGCGGGUAAUGCGGAGAGUGGGUAGUGAGGAUAGCAGAUAGUGGGAGAGGGGUAGUGUGAGAGCGGGUAGUGAGCAAAACGCGUAGUGGGGAGGGCGGGUAGUGGGAAGAAGCGGGUAGUGGGAGAGCGGGCAGGGAGGAGAGCGGUAUGGUUGAAA